UCUUGCAGAUGAACAAAGAAAGUCGUUUCUUGAGAUAGAAUCUACUCCUGAUGAAGAUGCUGUGAA
rnacentral:pre_miRNA from 1 species